rnacentral:rRNA from 1 species
AGAGUUUGAUCCUGGCUCAGAGCGAACGCUGGCGGCAUGCUUAACACAUGCAAGUCGCACGGCCAGCAACGGCAGUGGCGGACGGGUGAGUAACGCGUAGGAAUCUGUCUCCGGGUGGGGGAUAACGGUAGGAAGCGACUGCUAAUACCGCAUGAUACCUGAGGGUCAAAGGCGCAAGUCGCCUGGAGAGGAGCCUGCGUACGAUUAGCUUGUUGGCGGGGCAAAGGCCCACCAAGGCGACGAUCGUUAGCUGGUCUGAGAGGAUGAUCAGCCACACUGGGACUGAGACACGGCCCAGACUCUUACGGGAGGCAGCAGUGGGGAAUAUUGGACAAUGGGCGCAAGCCUGAUCCAGCAAUGCCGCGUGAGUGAAGAAGGUCUUCGGAUUGUAAAGCUCUUUCGACGGGGACGAUGAUAACGGUACCCGUAGAAGAAGCCCCGGCUAACUUCGUGCCAGCAGCCGCGGUAAUACGAAGGGGGCUAACGUUGCUCGGAAUGACUGGGCGUAAAGGGCGCGUAGGCGGUGAACACAGUCAGGCGUGAAAUUCCCGGGCUCAACCUGGGGGCUGCGCUUGAUACAUGUUCGCUUGAGUUCGGAAGAGGGUCGUGGAGUUCCCAGUGUAGAGGUGAAAUUCGUAGAUAUUGGGAAGAACGCCGGUGGCGAAGGCGGCGACCUGGUCCGAUACUGACGCUGAGGCGCGAAAGCGUGGGGG